UGAACGCUGGCGGCGUGCUUAAUACAUGCAAGUCGAACGAAGCACCUGCGACGGAUCCCUUCGGGGUGAAGAUGCUUGUGACUGAGUGGCGGACGGGUGAGUAACGCGUGGGUAACCUGCCUUAUGCAGGGGGACAACAGUUGGAAACGACUGCUAAUACCGCAUAAGCGCACGGCACCGCAUGGUGCAGUGUGAAAAGAUUUAUCGGCAUAAGAUGGACCCGCGUCUGAUUAGGUAGUUGGUGAGGUAACGGCCCACCAAGCCGACGAUCAGUAGCCGACUUGAGAGAGUGAUCGGCCACAUUGGGACUGAGACACGGCCCAGACUCCUACGGGAGGCAGCAGUAGGGAAUAUUGCACAAUGGGGGGAACCCUGAUGCAAGCGACGCCGCGUGAGUGAUGAAGUAUUUCGGUACGUAAAGCUCUAUCAGCGGGGAAGAUAAUGACGGUACCUGACUAAGAAGCCCCGGCUAACUACGUGCCAGCCGCAGC
rnacentral:rRNA from 1 species